rfam:Candidatus Scalindua brodae SCABRO_contig000195, whole genome shotgun sequence.
ACAAUCCAGCCCAGAUAAAGGCUAACCACCAGUCUGGAACUGAACCACGUAUAUAGUGAGGCAACAAGCUAUGUAAAGCCGUGGGAAAGGCUGUUUACCAGCCGUAACGCAAGUGAAGGUGUUGAGCCCCGAAAUAACCAACAUUGCACGAGACCAAGGGUUUCAUUUCCUGGAAGUCAGUAUCAAUAUAUGCGAUAGAGGUGAGUGUAUAAUUGACGUGCCGGGGUCUAAGUCCA